GCGCAUGAAGUUCAACGGUUGAACGACGGGCACUGUUGCUCGGAGGCAACAGGUUCGACUCCUGUCUUGCGCU
rnacentral:tRNA from 1 species